rnacentral:rRNA from 1 species
AUACGGAGGACGCGAGCGUUAUCCGGAUUCAUUGGGUUUAAAGGGUGCGCAGGCGGCCGUGCAAGUCAGCGGUGAAAGCCCGGGGCCCAACCCCGGAAGUGCCGUUGAUACUGCAUGGCUUGAAUGCGGUCGAGGCGGGCGGAACGUGGCGUGUAGCGGGGAAAUGCGUAGAUAUGCCACAGAACGCCGAUAGCGGAGGCAGCUCGCCAGGCCUGCAUUGACGCUCGGGCACGAAAGCGUGGGGAUCGAACAGGAUUAGAUACCCUGGUAGUCCACGCCGUAAACGAUGGGCGCUCGUCGUCGGCGGCAGACAGUCGGCGGCCAAGCGAAAGCGAUAAGCGCCCCACCUGGGGAGUACGGUCGCAAGGCUGAAACUCAAAUGAAUUGACGGGG